rnacentral:lncRNA from 1 species
CCGGACCCCAGACUCUUCCUACGGCGACUGACACCUCAGACACGCGUUGUGGGGGGCGGCGCUCUGGCUCCGGGGCUGUGCCCAGCGCGAGCGUGGCCGGCACCCACUUGCUGCAGAGCCGGCACUGCACUGGGGUUCUUGGGGGCGGCUCCUCCAGACGUCUCUGCGGGUUGUCGGGUGCUGCCGAGUUGGGUUGGGGGACGCUACAGGUAGUGGGUCCGGAGCAGCGGCUGGCCCCUCAUCUCACUGCCCUUCCUCGGACCCCACCGUCCUCUGGAAGCUUGUGCAGGGCACCUGCCACUGUGACCACCUGGACGCAGUGGGUUGUUUUUUCCGUUUCCAUCUCUGGCUAGUCUUGAAGGCUAGACUUGCGUAGGAGAGCAGACACGAGGACAUGAGCCAGUUCUGCUGAGCUGUUACUGUAUACCUGCUUUCCCACAACAGCAAGGAAGAACCAUGGCCCAGGGGUCACUGUCAUUCGGGGACGUGGCUGUGGGCUUCACCCGGAAAGAGUGGCAGCAGCUGGACCUGGAGCAGAGGACCCUGUACCAGGAUGUGAUGCUGGAGAACUACAGCCACCUGCUCUCUGUGGGCUGAACUGUCUGCUUGCUUGGAAGGCCCAGCUGGCUCAGCACAAAUCCUUUAACCGUUUCUCCCCAAGAGGGUGUCAAGUCAGCAAACCAGCUGUGAUCUCCAGUUUGGAGCAGGGGAAGGAGCCAUGGAUGGAGGAGGAAGAGAUAAGGACGUGGAGCUUCCCAGAAAGCUGACUUCAUGAGACCGAGGAUCUCGUUCGUUGAUCGAUGCUACAUAUUCAGCAUGUUAGAUAAUGAGGUUGGUGAGAUUGAUGAAAUCCCGCCCACCAGGGCCGACCCACAAAGAGCCACUUUAUGAAGAACAUGCUCCUGAACUCCACUCCACAACCAGCUUUUGAAAAGAAAAAUCUGAAAAAAUUUGACCUCAGUUAAACUGGUCCAAAUGCCUGAGCAUAACCAAAAUCUUUCCUCAUUCACUCUUCACGUGGACCGUGUUUAAUUUGGUUGCUGGUGAUCAUAUUUGUUUUAGUAAAGGCUGUCACUCUAUCUUGGGCG